UCCUUCUUAGCUCAGUUGGUAGAGCGCGUCACUAGUAAAUUUCAUUACGUAAUGACGAGGUCAGUCGUUCAAGUCGGCUAGAAGGAA